rnacentral:rRNA from 1 species
AUUGAACGCUGGCGGCAGGCCUAACACAUGCAAGUCGAGCGCGCGGCGGACGGGUGUGAAAUAUAUGUGGGCUGUCCGAUAGUGGGGGAUAACUACUGUAAACGGUUGCUCAUACCGCGUACUAUCUGAGUACACACAUGGGAUGAGCUAGAAGGUGCGGUAAUGGCUCACGUAGGCGACGAUCUCUAGCUGGUCUGAGAGGAUGAUCAGCCACACUGGGACGGAGACACGGCCCAGACUCCUACGGAGGCAGCAGUGGGGAAGAUUGCACAAUGGGCGCAAGCCUGAUGCAGCCAUGCCGCGUGUAUGAAGAAGGCCCUAGGGUUGUAAAGUACUUUCAGUCGGGAGGCGUUGCCGACAGAAGAAGCACCGGCUAACUCCGUGCCAGCAGCCGCGGUAAUAC